rnacentral:rRNA from 1 species
GACAGAGGGUGCAAGCGUUGUUCGGAAUCAUUGGGCGUAAAGGGCGCGUAGGCGGUUUUGUAAGUCGAAUGUGAAAGCCCAGGGCUCAACCUUGGAAGUGCAUCCGAAACUGCGAAACUGGAGUCCCGGAGAGGGUGGUGGAAUUCCCAGUGUAGAGGUGAAAUUCGUAGAUAUUGGGAGGAACACCGGUGGCGAAGGCGACCACCUGGACGGAGACUGACGCUGAGGCGCGAGAGCGUGGGGAGCAAACAGG